rnacentral:rRNA from 1 species
UACGGAGGGUGCAAGCGUUGUUCGGAUUUAUUGGGCGUAAAGGGCGUGUAGGCGGUUCGUUAAGUCUGAUGUGAAAGCCCCGGGCUCAACCCGGGAAGUGCAUUGGAAACUACCUGGCUCGAGGGUUGGAGGGGGGACUGGAAUGCUUGGUGUAGCAGUGAAAUGCGUAGAUAUCAAGCGGAACACCAGUGGCGAAGGCGAGUCCCUGGACAACUCCUGACACUGAUGCACGAAAGCUAGGGGAGCAAACAGG